rnacentral:rRNA from 1 species
AUUGAACGCUGGCGGCAUGCCUUACACAUGCAAGUCGAACGGCAGCACGGGAGCAAUCUUGGUGGCGAGUGGCGAACGGGUGAGUAAAGUAUCGGAAUGUGCCCAGUCGUGGGGGAUAACGUAGCGAAAGUUACGCUAAUACCGCAUACGAUCUAUGGAUGAAAGCGGGGGAUCGCAAGCCCUCGCGCGAUUGGAGCGGCCGAUAUCAGAUUAGGUAGUUGGUGGGGUAAAGGCGCACCAAGCCGACGAUCUGUAGCUGGUCUGAGAGGACGACCAGCCACACUGGGACUGAGACACGGCCCAGACUCCUACGGGAGGCAGCAGGGGGGAAUGUUGGACAAUGGGCGAAAGCCGGAUCCAGCCAUGCCGCGUGCAGGAUGAAGGCCUUCGGGUUGUAAACUGCUUUUGUACGGAACGAAAAGGUUUGGCCUAAUAAGCUGAGCUCAUGACGGUACCGUAAGAAUAAGCACCGGCUAACUACGUGCCAGCCGCCGCAGUAA